CACCGCGGUUAUACGAGAGGCCCUAGUUGAUGAUCACCGGCGUAAAGAGUGGUUAGGAAUUAUAUUUAAUAAAGCCGAACACCCCCUUGGCUGUCAUACGCACCUGGGGGCACGAAGCCCCACUGCGAAAGCAGCUUUAAUCACCACCUGAACCCACGACAGCUAUGACA
rnacentral:rRNA from 1 species